rnacentral:rRNA from 1 species
AACGGCAGCACAGGAGAGCUUGCUCUCUGGGUGGCGAGUGGCGGACGGGUGAGGAAUACAUCGGAAUCUACCUUUUCGUGGGGGAUAACGUAGGGAAACUUACGCUAAUACCGCAUACGACCUACGGGUGAAAGUGGGGGACCGCAAGGCCUCACGCGAUUAGAUGAGCCGAUGUCCGAUUAGCUAGUUGGCGGGGUAAUGGCCCACCAAGGCGACGAUCGGUAGCUGGUCUGAGAGGAUGAUCAGCCACACUGGAACUGAGACACGGUCCAGACUCCUACGGGAGGCAGCAGUGGGGAAUAUUGGACAAUGGGCGCAAGCCUGAUCCAGCCAUACCGCGUGGGUGAAGAAGGCCUUCGGGUUGUAAAGCCCUUUUGUUGGGAAAGAAAUCCUAUCGGUUAAUAACCGGUGGGGAUGACGGUACCCAAAGAAUAAGCACCGGCUAACUUCGUGCCAGCAGCCGCGGUAAUACGAAGGGUGCAAGCGUUACUCGGAAUUACUGGGCGUAAAGCGUGCGUAGGUGGUGGUUUAAGUCCGUUGUGAAAGCCCUGGGCUCAACCUGGGAAUUGCAGUGGAUACUGGAUCACUAGAGUGUGGUAGAGGGAUGCGGAAUUUCUGGUGUAGCAGUGAAAUGCGUAGAGAUCAGAAGGAACAUCCGUGGCGAAGGCGG